rnacentral:rRNA from 1 species
UACGGAGGAUCCAAGCGUUAUCCGGAUUUAUUGGGUUUAAAGGGUGCGUAGGCGGCUUUUUAAGUCAGGGGUGAAAGACGGUGGCUCAACCAUCGCAGUGCCCUUGAUACUGAAGAGCUUGAAUAAACUAGAGGUAGGCGGAAUGUGACAAGUAGCGGUGAAAUGCAUAGAUAUGUCACAGAACACCAAUUGCGAAGGCAGCUUACUAUGGUUAAUUGACGCUGAGGCACGAAAGCGUGGGGAUCAAACAGG